ensembl:lncRNA
CUUUAGACACAGUACAAGCUAGAGGUUGCACACCACCUUUACGCUCGGGACAUCCUGAGCAUCAAAUACAUUUUAGAGAGGUAAAGUGAUCUUCACUCUACUUUUGUUAGUAAAAAAAACAACAUACUGGUACACAAAGAUUUCCCUUGCUGCUAUCGGCUAAUCGGUCAUGUCAAGGUGACGAGGGUGAUUAUUUUUUUUUAUGAUAUGCAGUUGUUGUUGUGUGAGGUUGCUUAAACAAUCAAACUAAAAUAAUGCAUCAUACUUAAAUCCUCUUAGAUUCACUUAGGCUUCAGUUAAAUACCACACAACUACUUUUUUGUGUAGCAGCCCAGUACCACAGAUCCCUUUUGUUAAAAGCUGUGUAAUUAUAUCAUGAUUUAAAAAAUCAGAAACUGUAUUCUAUCCAAUGGGUUUUAUCAUAUAACAUAUUUAGUUUGUAGACUCUACCUUCCCCAAACCAGCAGAACAACAUAUCGGUUCAUCUGUCUUGUCUCUGCAGCGAUGCAGAAGCAAGGGUGUGGAUGGUGGCUGGGUUAAAGUCCCUCUGUAGUAGGACAUCUCCGCAGGCGCAGCAGGAAGAGGUGCAGGUGGACGAGGAGAGAGACAUUCAGCAGGCAGUUCUUUCCUCGGUGGUGGGGGUCCUGGUGGGGAGUGGCUUUGAGGAGAACAAGGGCCCGGCGGGACCCAGCAGGAGGA